AUAUAACAUAUUUCCAUCGUCGCAGAAACAACAACUUCAACUUAAGCAAAAUACCAGACACCGCUGUUUUCAAAAUCCCCAGAACACAACAACAUGUUUAUGUCUAUGUUCAGCCACUUUGACAUCGCGCAGGGCCAGAACUGGAGCUUCUCGUUGGGCCUGGGCCCGGUGAAAGGAGCCGAUUCAAAACCAAACUCCGAGGGCACUUCUUCCUCCGCCGAGUCUAAAACCGCUAGAAAAGAUCCCAAUCAAUCUUCAACCGGUGGAUCCAAGCAAAACCCGGACCGUUUGAAGCCCAGGUUUGCUCCAGAGUUCGACGGGUUACACUGCUUUGAAUCCAUCGUCCUCUGUUAGAAGGAUUCCUUCGUCUCCAACCUUCUCAAUUUGUUUGUAAUAAUUACGUCGUAUAAAAAUACGAGACAAUUCAAUUCAAUUAAUUUGUUUUCUGUAUAGUUUAAUCAACGAUUGAGAAAACUUGUGUGUACACCAGAAAUCGAACUAUGUUUAUCCCGUAACUUAAAAAUUGCUCGUGGCCAUAAUUGCAGUUCUACUUUUUUACCAGUAAUCUUCAUCAAUCAUCGUGUAAGAAAACUGGAUGUAUAAAAAAGCUGUUAGCAAUAAAAAAUAGAUCUUUUUUUUUUUAAAUUACAGUGAUUGAAUCCUACUCCCACAGCAAUCUGCUUCAAUUAAAGGCAAUGAUACAGUAUCUGUAUGUUUUUUUUCUGCCAAUUUUCUCCACACAAUUCCACCAAGGUAAAGGGAUAACAAAAGGGUAUUUUGGUCGGUGAUCACUUAUUCAGAGUUAGAGGAGAAAAAUGUGAAGCAGGUGCAGAUUUUCUUUCAGUUGGUAGUGCACCACGUAAUUUCAUUGCCACCAAAAUAGUGCUCUUCUCGUUUUCCCAUUGCCGACCAUAGCCAUUUUGGAUUUGGUGGUCUCUACUCCACUCUCCUUCAAGAUACUAGAAACCGACCACGACAUCAAGGUGGAUAUAUCUUUUUCUGUCCUUCAUUAGAGUCAACAAAGGAAGGAAAAACAUGUUUUCUGCAAGAAAACAAAAAAAUAAUGGAACGGGAAGAACUAAAGGGACGGUGGAGGGUACAGAAAAGCAUGAGCUAAAUGACAUGUGCGGUUCUCACAACGUGCCAUUCUUUCAACACAGCUUCAUGCAAUAACCUCAGUAAUCCUUUAAUCAAAUGUACAUAUUUUUAUGUUGCGCAGGGUUGGUGCAACAAUGAGUAACUUAUAUUUGCUACGGACCAUGUAUAAUUUCUGCAGAGAUUGAUAAAAUUAGCAUUACGAAAUGAACAAUAAGAAAAAUUGAAAUUACUUUCUCCCUUCUAAGAAUCGGGUGUUUGAAUCACCUAACUUCUUUACACUCUUUUAUAUAAUGGGUUAAAUAGAUCAUUUGAGAAUUUUCUUGCAUUAUUGUAUAAUCAUACAAUCUAUUUUUUUAGCUUACAAAUUAUCUUGCUCGUAUAUGCUUGUUGAAAUAGGACUAGAAAUUCGGGCUUAAGGUAGUGAGUCGCCUAAAAUAAACAAUGAAUCAACAAUAUACAGGUGUUUCAUCUUAAGAAAAGCUUGACAAUGAAUAGAAGUUAAGGUUAAUAACAAUUUAUAUGUACUCUUAUUUCUUACUGAUAUUUCUUUUAAAAGAUAAAACUGUUAACUUACAAAUUUGACAGACUUAAGCAGGACUAUUAGUUUAUUAGAGAGUUAAAUCCUAUCACACACUCAUUCUCUUCCUUUAAGCAAGUCUUAAUUAAUAAAGUACAUGCAUUUUCCUAUUAGGUACCACAGUUAUUUUUAGAAAGUUCACAAUUUCAAUUAAAUUUCAAAACUUUAAAACCUUUUUUACAGAUCCGGUCAAUUUUAGGAGACAAGGCCAUGGAUUUACUUUGAGGGAUAGGUGACAAACUCUGAUGAAGCAAGGGAUAAUGUUAUUUCUUAACGACUGGGGAAAAAAUAAAGAUCAGUGUUUGCUUCUCUUCAUCACCAAGGCAUCUUCUCUGUCUCUUUACGUCCUCCUCUGCCUUAUAUCUUGAUGAAAGACUAGUUGUUCAUUCCAAUUUCAAGAAUUGAUCUUUCAGGGGGAAUAAUGGCCAUGGGAAGUAUUUUUGCAGCUGUGCCAGCUAUUGCUGCUGCUGCUGGAUUUUAUUUCAUAGGCAGAAACAACGUCAAGGAAAUCAAACAAGGGUCAUCAGUAUCCAGUCAAAAGAUGCUAGCAGAAGUGAAAGAACGAGCAAAGAGCCUUCAAAUGCCAAAAUUGGCACCACAGUUUGAUGGUUUAGAUUGUUUCGAAACCUUGGUGAUGAAUUGAGUUUGCUUGGGAUGGAACUGUUUGUGCCUUGUGCAGAAUGAAUGUUAGAUACGGGGAAAAAUUAUUUUGAGACACUUCUAUAUUCAUUUGAUAAUUAUUUUUCACUUUUCCAUUAAAAAAUCUGUCAAAUGAAUAUAUGUGUUAACCUACUAUUACCCAUUUGUUAUUAUAAGAUGAUAUUUCCUCCCAACAACUUCAUUAUUGUUUCAUAUCAAUUCCAUCUACUAGGUCUUGGCAAGUUUUAAAGAGAGGAAGCGUUGACAUAUCACUAGUUAAAAUAUAAUGAAAAGGAAAA